GGGCCCGCACAAGCGGUGGAGCAUGUGGUUUAAUUCGAUGAUACGCGAGGAACCUUACCAGGGCUUAAAUGUAAGUUGCAUAAGUUAGAGAUAGCUUUUUCUUCGGACUACUUACAAGGUGCUGCAUGGUUGUCGUCAGCUCGUGCCGUGAGGUGUCAGGUUAAGUCCUAUAACGAGCGCAACCCCUGUUGUUAGUUGCCAUCGAGUAAUGUCGGGAACUCUAACAAGACUGCCGGUGCAAACCGUGAGGAAGGUGGGGAUGACGUCAAAUCAUCACGGCCCUUACGGGUUGGGCUACACACGUGCUACAAUGGUAGUGACAAUGGGUUAAUCCCAAAAAGCUAUCU
rnacentral:rRNA from 1 species